GGUGGAGCAGUGGCAGCUCGCAAGGCUCAUAACCUUGAGGUCGCAGGUUCGAAUCCUGCCCCCGCAACCA
rnacentral:tRNA from 1 species